CGUAGGGCUGGAGCUGGACUCCUCGAGCUAGCUUCAGUUUAGCUACCAUUAACUGGCUGUCUGGGGAGGGCAGGUGACAUCCCCUGGUUGCAGGGGGUUGCAGGGGGACCCUGGUGGCCCUGGCAGGAGGGAGGUGUGCUGCUUCAGGCUGCCUCAGGCCACCUGCCCUGCAUCACUGGAUGGCUGCAAGGGAAUUGUGAUUUGUCAUUAAGGAAACAUUCCUUUCCUUCCUGGGUCUCUAGGAUGAACAGUGAAGUGCCUGGCCUGAUGGGUGCUGCAAAUGGAGGUUUUGAAGGAUGCUGCGGUGCAAGGGCAGUAUAAGCAGCAGUGCCAGGAGCCUGGAGGACUCUCAGGCAGGAGGGGAAAGUCUGUGCCCAAAUUCAACAAGCUUCUGCUUUAAGAGGUCUUUGCUAAUUUAGAAGGAGCCUGUCUGGAAUGGACAAAUGCAGGCAUCAGGUUGUCUGCAGCACUGUGUGAUCCUCGCAUGCAUCCUCACAAAAGUGGCAUAAUCUCACCCAGAAUGAUGACUUCCUUCUCAGCUGGAGCUUUCAGCCGAAAUGGACAGCUUCCAGAGGAGAUUCUGUAUGCUGCGGGCUGGGAGUGGGGAUGCUGGUUGGGAAAUCUGUUCCAGCAUUGUGGUGGGGGUUAAACUAGAUGGCUGUCAUCUGGCCUUGCAGAGAGCAAAUAAUGCCUCAUUGCCUCGUACCAGUUUCAUUGUGAACAGCUCUUUUGAAAAUAUUGUGGUAGCUAUAUAUAAAGCGGAGUGUUGAGGUUUCUAUUUUAGAUUUAAUUUUGCUCCUUAAUAACAAUGUGCAGUAGAUUUGCCAAACAUAGCACUCUCCAGGCUGAAUUGUACUUGCUCAGCCUGAUGUACAAAAUCUUAAAUGCAUCUAAAUAACACCCAGCUGGCAUAGUUCAGACUGUAGCUUUCUGUACCACUUUUGUGUAUGGUACAGAUGUGGCAGACAAAUCUAACAAACUUUGGGGGGAAGCAUCGUAUGUAAAUUGGGAACAAUUAACAAAAAGAAUGGAAAAAUCCUCCCUGAAAUAAAAAUUCUGUUCAGAGAGCCUAUGUGUGAAUGUAAGCACCCACUGCUUGCCAGAGGAAGGUUUAGGGCUGAUUAUGUUUUAAGCCUGAGAAAAUCCAUUCAUUAGAGACGAUGUAGUUUUAAAAAUAUGCCUGGUUCUCAGACUUGUGUACCUGUGUGAUUGCAGAUCUAGGCUUUGUGCUCUGCCACCAGAGACUGUGUUUCCACAGCCGGUUUCAAUUCCAGGCUGUUAAUUGGCUGCGGUGCCAAGGGAUGAGGAUUAAGGGAGAGUCUGGGCUGUGACGCAGGCACACCGGGGGGGAUGACAGGAUAUCUGGUGGGGCUUGGAGAACGCAUUUGAAUGCUACCCCUUCCUCCGGUACCUAGGCUAAUGGACCUGAGGUUGCCACAAGAUUUGGGUCAGCCUCUUCCAGUGCACUUACCUGCAAGCAAAAGCAGGACGAUGAAGGCAGUGGCUCUCACCUGAAGGCUGCCAGCAGCCGUGGGCUGUGGUCUGGUGCAUGCCCGUGGCACAGUUUGGCUCAGCACCUCUGCCAAGCACUGGAACCUGUCCAGCUGCACCAGGACUGCAGCAGGAACCCUAACUGCGCUGCUGGAAACAC